GGGUUGUGAGGUUAAGCGACUAAGCGUACACGGUGGAUGCCCUGGCAGUCAGAGGCGAUGAAGGACGUGCUAAUCUGCGAUAAGCGUCGGUAAGGUGAUAUGAACCGUUAUAACCGGCGAUUUCCGAAUGGGGAAACCCAGUGUGAUUCGUCACACUAUCGUUAACUGAAUACAUAGGUUAACGAAGCGAACCGGGGGAACUGAAACAUCUAAGUACCCCGAGGAAAAGA
rnacentral:rRNA from 1 species